ACUCCUACGGAAGGCAGCAGUGGGGAAUCUUGCGCAAUGGGCGAAAGCCUGACGCAGCAACGCCGCGUGGGGGAUGAAGGCUCUCGGGUUGUAAACCCCUUUCAGCAGGGACGAAAUUGACGGUACCUGCAGAAGAAGCCCCGGCUAACUACGUGCCAGCAGCCGCGGUAAU
rnacentral:rRNA from 1 species